rnacentral:tRNA from 1 species
GCUGCGGUGGCCGAGUGGUUAAGGCGUUGGACUCGAAAUCCAAUGGGGUUUCCCCGCGCGGGUUCGAAUCCCGCCCGCAGCG